GAGUUUGAUCAUGGCCAGGAUGAACGCUAGCGGCAGGCUUAACACAUGCAAGUCGAGGGGUAUCGCACUUCGGUGCUAGAGACCGGCGCACGGGUGCGUAACGCGUAUGCAAUCUGCCUUUCACAGAGGGAUAGCCCAGAGAAAUUUGGAUUAAUACCUCAUAGUAUUAUGGAGUGGCAUCACUUUAUAAUUAAAGUCACAACGGUGAAAGAUGAGCAUGCGUCCCAUUAGCUAGUUGGUAAGGUAACGGCUUACCAAGGCUACGAUGGGUAGGGGUCCUGAGAGGGAGAUCCCCCACACUGGUACUGAGACACGGACCAGACUCCUACGGGAGGCAGCAGUGAGGAAUAUUGGUCAAUGGGCGCAAGCCUGAACCAGCCAUGGCCGCGUGCAGGAUGACGGUCCUAUGGAUUGUAAACUGCUUUUGUACGAGAAGAAACACUCCAACGUGUUGGAGCUUGACGGUAUCGUAAGAAUAAGGAUCGGCUAACUCCGUGCCAGCAGCGCGGUAA
rnacentral:rRNA from 1 species